UACGUAGGUGGCAAGCGUUGUCCGGAAUUACUGGGCGUAAAGCGUGCGCAGGCGGUUGUGCAAGACAGAUGUGAAAUCCCCGGGCUCAACCUGGGAAUUGCAUUUGUGACUGCAUGGCUGGAGUGCGGCAGAGGGGGAUGGAAUUCCGCGUGUAGCAGUGAAAUGCGUAGAUAUGCGGAGGAACACCGAUGGCGAAGGCAAUCCCCUGGGCCUGCACUGACGCUCAUGCACGAAAGCGUGGGGAGCAAACAGG
rnacentral:rRNA from 1 species